CCCCACCUCCUCACAUUAUGCCUACACGAACACAGACACAUGCAGGUGCCUUUGCAGAAACAAAGUCAGGGUUCUUCAAGUCACAAAGGGAAGGGCAGGAACAACUCUUGCCUCUCAGUCCCACACAAGGCAGCUGUCUCACACUAUAGAAAAAAAUAUUCAUGAACAAAUUCAUAUCCAUCACAGUGAGGGGUCACACCUUAAACAGCCCAUCGCAUGCUCAAUACAUCCAAUGCAAAGAAACCCCAUAGCACAGCUGUGUCCACUGUUCCGCCCAACACCCAACACACAUUAGGUCCUCCAAGCUCUCACCUUUACAAGCUGUGAGGGACACAUCAGAGCCCUGGGCACUGUCACUGCCUGGGGUAGAACAAAAACAGAACCUGGUCAGAUCCCACAGAAGAUGUGGCUAGAGGAGGAAUUGUGAGGUGGGUGGGCUCCCCCAUGGGCUCCCAAACACAAUAUCCCAAGGACCUCAGGCAUCAGCCUCCUUCAUACUUACUUGCAGCCUGAGUGUAACUCCCUCCUUUUCUAUCUGUGAGAAGAAAAUGUCCUGUGAGAUACCAGAAAGGAGCCAGGGCCUUAAGGUCCUAGAGGAACCUCCUAGUCUUGGACCCCAGAGAAGUUUCCAGAAAUGUGUGACUGCAGACCCAGGGCGGGAUCAGGAAACAUGAAGAAAGCAGGUGUGGGUCCUGGACCAAUAGCCCUCCUGAGGUCUGUCCUCAGGGACCUUCCCCUGUGACUUGUGACUGCUGGGAUCAGGUCCCAUCACCGCCGUAAUCAAGGUGAUAAAUCUGUCCUUCAUUUUAACAGGUGCUUUACAAAAGAGUAAGUGCUGGCACACAGGGCCCAGGCUGGGUAGGCCCAUGAGUGUGGAUGGUGCUUCCCAGUAACCAGGCAGGACACACUUCUAACUGGGGCUUGAAACCCUCAGUGGGACAAGAAAUCUCAGACCCCACUCCUCAUCCAUUCCUUACCUGAGUUCUUCUUCCUGCACAUCACAGCAGAAACCACAGCUCCAGUGACUACAGCUCCAAGGAGAACCAGGCCAGCAACGAUACCCACGAUGGGGAUGGUGGGCUGAGAAGACUGCUCUGGGAAAAAAGGGGAAGAAGGCACCACCACAGCUGCCCACUUCUGGAAGGUUCCAUCCCCUGCAGGCCUGGUCUCU